rnacentral:tRNA from 1 species
GCACGCGUAGCCAAGUUGGUUAAGGCGCCGGUCUGCAAAACCGGUCAUCGUGAGUUCGAAUCUCACCGCGUGCU